rnacentral:rRNA from 1 species
AUCUUCGGAUGGAUUUAAAACAGCUUAGUGGCGGACGGGUGAGUAACGCGUGGGUAACCUGCCUCACACUGGGGGAUAACAGUUAGAAAUGACUGCUAAUACCGCAUAAGCGCACAGCUUCGCAUGAAGCAGUGUGAAAAACUCCGGUGGUACAAGAUGGACCCGCGUCUGAUUAGCUUGUUGGCGGGGUAACGGCCCACCAAGGCGACGAUCAGUAGCCGACCUGAGAGGGUGACCGGCCACAUUGGGACUGAGACACGGCCCAGACUCC